rnacentral:lncRNA from 1 species
GUACCUCUUCAAAAGCUAACACAAAACUAGAACAGAUGUCAUCUGCAUGACUGAAGUUGGCAAGGGUAUUUCAGGCUGGAGGUGGUUUAUCCCUCAGCCCUGUUGUUCAAUCUUCAUGAUCCACUUUGUUCCAAAACCCCCCAGAAGUUAGAAACAGAACAGCAAUGAAACCUUGCUAACCAUUUUGUGAAGAGCCAAAUCAGAAUUGUCAGACACUGAAGGCCAUGCGGCGGUUUCAAUUUCUGGUCGAGGCAGAAGAAAACUAGAACAAGAUCUGUGCCUGAGUCUCAAGGUGUUUAUGAAAAAAAAUGCACAAUAUCCCGACUGACCGGAAUAAUUGAUGAAGAAGGGUGCUGGAUCCGUGGGUCAGAGAACACACAGGACCAGCUUGCCACCCCAAGGCCGAAGGUAGGGGACUCUGGAUUUUUAUUCCGCGGAUGGAUUCCUUGCGCCUUAUUUUUCCUUGAUUGUGUUUUCGCCGGUGGCUGCCACCGGGAAGUGCCACCGCGCUGCGAUUCCAUUUUGUGGCUGCCUUUCUCACGCCAGGUGUCGGCGGGCUGCUGUGGCAGUGGCGAGGCUGGCAGGGUGGCCGCGG